UACAGAGGUGGCAAGCGUUGUUCGGAAUUACUGGGCGUAAAGGGCGCGUAGGCGGUUCGUUAAGUCCUGUGUGAAAUCCCCCGGCUCAACUGGGGAACUGCACAGGAACUAGCGGGCUUGAGUUCGGGAGAGGGAAGCGGAAUUCCGGGUGUAGCGGUGGAAAUGCGUAGAUAUCCGGAGGAACACCGGUGGCGAAGGCGGCUACU
rnacentral:rRNA from 1 species